rnacentral:rRNA from 1 species
CCGAGAUGGCUUAGUGCCUUCGGGAACCGUGAGACAGGUGCUGCAUGGCUGUCGUCAGCUCGUGUUGUGAAAUGUUGGGUUAAGUCCCGCAACGAGCGCAACCCUUAUCCUUUGUUGCCAGCACGUAAUGGUGGGAACUCAAAGGAGACUGCCGGUGAUAAACCGGAGGAAGGUGGGGAUGACGUCAAGUCAUCAUGGCCCUUACGAGUAGGGCUACACACGUGCUACAAUGGCAUAUACAAAGAGAAGCAAGAGCGCGAGCUGGAGCAAAUCCCAUAAAGCUUAUCUAAGUUCGGAUCGAAGUCUGCAACUCGACUUCGUGAAGCUGGAAUCGCUAGUAAUCGCGGAUCAGAACGCCGCGGUGAAUACGUUCCCGGGCCUUGUACACACCGCCCGUCACACCAUGAAAGUUGUGCCUACCAGAAGUCGUUGCGUUAACCGCAAGGAGACAGACGCCCAAGGUAGGAGCGAUGAUUGGGGUGAAGUCGUAACAAGGUAACCGU